ensembl:snRNA U1 U1 spliceosomal RNA
UCUCUGACCUGGCAGGGGAGAUACCAUGAUGCAAAGGUGGUUUUCCCAAGGUAAGACAUAUCCAUUGCACUCCAGAUGUGCUGAUCCAUGAUUUCCCCAAAUGUGGAAAACUCGAUUGCCUAAUUUGUGGCAGGGGGGACUGUGUUAAAGCUUUCCUCUG